GCCGAGCACAUGGGCCCGCGGGCCGGGCGGGCUCGGGGCGGCCGGGACGAGGAGGGGCGACGACGAGCUGCGAGCAAAGAUGUGCCCCGGGACCCCCGGCACCUUCCAGUGGAUUUCCUUGCGGAAAGGAUGUUGGCGGUCCCUGUGACCUGUGGAGACACGGCCAGAUCUGCCCUCCAGCCUGAUCUUUUGGCCAGAAGGAGAUUAAAAAGAUGCCCCUCAAGAUGGCUGUGCCUGUCAGCUGCAUGGAGCUUCGUUCAAGUAUUUUCUGAGCCUGAUGGAUUUACAGUGAUCUUCAGUGGUCUGGGGAAUAACGCUGGUGGAACCAUGCACUGGAAUGACACACGCCCGGCACAUUUCAGGAUACUAAAAGUGGUUUUAAGGGAGGCUGUGGCUGAAUGCCUCAUGGAUUCUUACAGCUUGGAUGUCCAUGGGGGACGAAGGACUGCAGCUGGCUGAGAGGGUUGAGAUCUCUGUUUACUUAGAUCUCUGCCAACUUCCUUUGGGUCUCCCUAUGGAAUGUAAGACCCCGACUCUUCCUGGUGAAGCAUCUGAUGCACGUUCCAUCCGGCGCUCAGCUGGGCUUGAGAAUCCUGUUACACCUGGGAUUUAGGCACUUUCAAUCUGAAAAAAUACAUAUCCUUUCAGCACUCUGGACGGACUUGAGAACUGUCCUUACGUGACCUAAAGCUGGAGUAUUUUGAGAUUGGAGAAUUAAGGCCAACAGAGAUUUUGAGAAACACAUUGAAGGAUCUGUUAACACUUGAUAUACCCAAUAAAAGCAGUGGUUGUGCCAGUGCUGAUCUGUCUUGAUGUGAAUGUGAACAAUGGGAACCUGAGCUGAGCAGUUAAUGCUAGGGUGACAGAAACUGGACCUCUCCCAAGACAUGUGACAGAGUAAUACAGCAGCCAACUUCUUCGCCAAAUUAAAGUUUUACAAGAUUUAACCUGUCAUCAAGACCUGGGAUUUUGGUGAGCCAGUCUUGGUGCUCUGUGUUCACCUGGUUCAUCUGAGGAGCUGCAUCUACCCUGCCCAUGCCAUAGAUCCUGCCCUGUUUGCUUCUCCUGUUGCUGCUAGUGGACAUGAGAAGGACAGAAUAACGGGCUCCCAGAUUCACAAGCCCCACCAAGAGGAUCACCCCAGGAACGCUUGGAGGCUGAGGAGUUCACUGAGGCUACUGCAUCUUGAGACUCAGGAUGAAGACCCAGCUUGGGGCUGUCAAAGGUUUUUUGCAUGUCUGACACCCAUGACUCCACCUGGACCUUAUGGCUCCACCCAGAAGCAAUUCAGCCCAACAGGAGGACAGCUUCAACCCAUUACGAUUUCAUCUCUG
rnacentral:lncRNA from 1 species